rnacentral:rRNA from 1 species
UACUCCUACGGGAGGCAGCAGGGGGGAAUUUUGCGCAAUGGGCGAAAGCCUGACGCAGCAACGCCGCGUGAGUGAUGAAGGCCCUCGGGUCGUAAAGCUCUGUCAGAGGGAAAGAAACUUUUGAGGGAGAAUAUCCCUUGAAACUGACGGUACCGCCAGAGGAAGCACCGGCUAACUCCGUGCCAGCAGCCGCGGUAAUA